UCCUACGGGAGGCAGCAGUAGGGAAUCUUGCGCAAUGGGCGAAAGCCUGACGCAGCAAUGCCGCGUGCGGGACGAAGGCCCUAGGGUCGUAAACCGCUUUCAGUAGGGACGAAAAUGACGGUACCUGCAGAAGAAGCUCCGGCCAACUACGUGCCAGCAGCCGCGGUGAUACGUAGGGAGCAAGCGUUGUCCGGAAUUACUGGGCGUAAAGGGCUCGUAGGUGGUUGAGUAAGCCUGCAUUUGAUACUGCUCUGACUAGAGUCCGGUAGGGGAGUGCGGAACUCCUGGUGUAGCGGUGAAAUGCGCAGAUAUCAGGAAGAACACCGACAGCGAAGGCAGCACUCUGGGCCGGUACUGACACUGAGGAGCGAAAGCAUGGGUAGCAAACAGGAUUAGAUACCCUGGUAGUCCAUGCCGUAAACGUUGGGCACUAGGUGUGGGGAGAACUCAACUCUCUCCGCGCCGUAGCUAACGCAUUAAGUGCCCCGCCUGGGGAGUACGGCCGCAAGGCUAAAACUCAAAGGAAUUGACGG
rnacentral:rRNA from 1 species